GACGAACGCUGGCGGCGUGCUUAACACAUGCAAGUCGAACGGAAAGGCCCUGCUUUUGUGGGGUGCUCGAGUGGCGAACGGGUGAGUAACACGUGAGUAACCUGCCCUUGACUUUGGGAUAACUUCAGGAAACUGGGGCUAAUACCGGAUAGGAGCUCCUGCUGCAUGGUGGGGGUUGGAAAGUUUCGGCGGUUGGGGAUGGACUCGCGGCUUAUCAGCUUGUUGGUGGGGUAGUGGCUUACCAAGGCUUUGACGGGUAGCCGGCCUGGGAGGGUGGACGGCCACAUUGGGACUGAGAUACGGCCCAGACUCCUACGGGAGGCAGCAGUGGGGAAUAUUGCACAAUGGGCGGAAGCCUGAUGCAGCAACGCCGCGUGCGGGAUGACGGCCUUCGGGUUGUAAACCGCUUUCGCCUGUGACGAAGCGUGAGUGACGGUAAUGGGUAAAGAAGCACCGGCUAACUACGUG
rnacentral:rRNA from 1 species